AAAGAAAUAACUUCUCUUGCUGAUUCUAGCAAACGAAGAUCUUCGAUGAGAAGGAAAUGCGCUAAAGAGAAGUCCGAAAUAACAUCUACCGUAGAAAAGUUAAAUUGCCUCUCAAGUCUGUGUGGUCUUCCUACGACAAGUGCGGAAGAAGUCAUGUCUGGAGAUUUUGUUUGGUCGUUUAACCAGUGUAACAUAGAUAGUACGACUUCACAUGAUAUACCUGUGCGUUUCAAGGCACAAAUUGUCGAUAAGUACAUGUUAGUUAAAAGAUUGGAAGAGGAAAAAGCACUUCUGAACAUGGAGAUGAAAAAUUAUAUGAUUUAUUGUUUGGAAAACGUUUUGCCUCUCCUUUGUGAAAGAAAAGAGAAGAUUAAAGAUA